UACGUAGGGUCCGAGCGUUGUCCGGAAUUACUGGGCGUAAAGAGCUCGUAGGUGGUUUGUCGCGUUGUUCGUGAAAACUCACAGCUUAACUGUGGGCGUGCGGGCGAUACGGGCAGACUGGAGUACUGCAGGGGAGACUGGAAUUCCUGGUGUAGCGGUGGAAUGCGCGGAUAUCAGGAGGAACACCGGUGGCGAAGGCGGGUCUCUGGGCAGUAACUGACGCUGAGGAGCGAAAGCGUGGGGAGCGAACAGG
rnacentral:rRNA from 1 species